GUCGGAUCUGCAGCGGACCAAAUUGACGGACCAGCAAACGGACCGAAGGAAAAAAGAAACGCGCGGGUCAAAAAAAUGAAAACAGUACGAAGCAAAGACCAAAAAGAAAAAGAAACGCGUUCUCUCUCUUCCCUCUCUCUCAAACCUUUCCUCCCCCUCUCUCAAAGCGAGCAGAAGACUCCCUCAGAAGACUAAGGAUGAGGAAGUGUUUGGAUUAGUGUAUAAAAGAUGGCUUGGCUUGCAGAGCACCGAGAGGAAGAAGCUCUCUGCUCGAGCAUGACCACACAUGCUCCGGAAGAUGGCGGCUCGAUUCACUCGCCUCCAUCCCCUGGAUCUCUCUCAGUCUGUUUGUCGCUCUUUCUACCCGGGCGUCACCGAUUCCGAUCUCUCUGUCAUAGCUACUUCCUUCACUUGCUCGCGCUCUCUCAAUCUUCAGAAUUGCAAAGGUCACUGAAACACAAUCCCACAUUGUGUUUCCUGUUACAAAUUUUGCCAAUAAUUUGGAUUUGGGUUAAUUAGGGAUCUGGUAAAAUGUUUAAAAUUUCAAUUUGAAACACAAUCCCACAUUGUGUUUGGAGGCUCAUUUCAUGCUAUGGAAUUGUGCUAUGGAAUUGGAAUUUUGGUACAAAACUAGUUUAGAAUUUGAAUUGGCAUGAACACCGGCAUUUUCUUAUUUAAUAUCCAAUUUGUGUUCUGGGUUUCUUUACAGCGAGUUUUAGUCGAGUCAAACUUUGAACUUAAUGUGUGAGCUUUAGUCCAAUUUGUGUUCUGUUGCUGAGGGUUGUGCCAGCUUGAAGAGGUUGCAUCUUUCUGGUUGCAGAUUUGUUACGGAUGCACUAUUAGGAGCUCUUUCUAGAAACACUCAUAAUUUAGAAGAGUUGGGUUUGCAAGGCUGCACCAACAUAACUGACUCUGGACUUGUCGUUCUUGUUGAUGGGUGUCAACGGAUGAAGUAUUUAGGCAUCAACAAGUGCAACAAUGUUGGAGAUAAUGGAAUAUCCGGUAUAUCAAAAGCAUGCUCAGCUUCUCUGAAGAUCCUGCGGAUGGAUUGGUGUUUGAAUGUUUCCGACUCUUCAUUGAACUGCAUCCUCUCUCACUGGCUGCUGCCUGUAAUGUCAAUCCUCUCUCACUGCAUCCUCUCUUAUUUAGUCGAUAAAGUCAUUGGGGCUGAUACGGCAGUUUGGCUUGCCCUGCUUCCGGACCAGUUUGUGACUGGAAAAUUUUUCGCAUAAAGGCGUGAGAUUAAUUUCUGAAGGGGUUGCCUAGUUAAUUCAACUGCUAAAUGUGAGCAAACACAACUGUGGCACUUUGGGAUUGCUAUUUUAUCUCUAUUUUAGUGAAUUUGUUUAGUUUCUUUUUCAUACGGCGUCCAUCUGCAAAAUUGUAAAUCUCUAAAUAAAUGCCGAAAAUAGGAAAACAGGCAACCAAUUAAGAACUCUAAACAUGAAAUCUCAAACAGAGCAACCGCAUGUAGAUAUACAAAAUGAAAACAGCAUUACAUUAAGCAAAAGUCAUCGCGUACUUUACAAUCCAAUACGAUGUUGUUUCAUCUUCAAACCCAUAUAUGAAGUCCAUCCAUUUGAACUUACAUGGAUUAGAACACAAAUUAAUUUAAAAUAUAGAAGAUUGUAUAACACAGUGAAUAAACACCAUGGCUAUAAUGACAUUCUAGUAGGUAACGACAAAACAAUUUUGGUCUUAUAUAAGGGAUUCAUGCUAACAAUCAUUCAAGUGGUUAUAAUAUAUCAUUACCAAAAUUUUACGGUGUAUGUAAAAAGGUUAAAAAUGCAAGUGCUACUCAAAUAUUAACUGAAGUUAGCAUACUUAGUCUUGUACUCUUGUUUCCUUUGUCACAGUAUAAGUGUAGUAUGAUAAUAUGCAGAGAUAUAUGCAUUACCCGUACUACUUUCUAAACCAACAAGCCUGGUUUAAGUGUUGUAGUUUUGAAUAUAAAUUGUUAACAAUUUGGCUUUCUCAAGAGGUAAAUUUCAAGAGCCAUCCUAAUAUAAGUGUUCGGUUGGUUUCUCUGAAUUGAACAAAAAAUGAGAGUAGAAACACAACAAAAAGCAAAUAAAAUGCAAAUUAGUACAGAUAUAAGUAAUGCCCAAAAGUAAAAAUAAAAAUAUACAACGUAGAAAGUAUAUAUACAGGAAGCAGUUUAUACUUUGCAACAUAGUUAUCACCAAUACACUCCCCCCCAAAACAAACUCUAGAUCUUUGUAGAAAAACAAACCCCAAAACAGAAAUUACAAAAUUAAGUAGCAAUCUUUACCUUCUGAGGAACCUUCCCUUCCAAUUUGCAACAGAACCUGUUCGAAUCCCUUGCCUUCCGAUUUGCUUUAGGCUCGCUUUUAGAGAAGGGGAGAGAAAGGUCGCUUUGAGAGAGAAUCGGAAGAUUGGGUUAGCGAGAGGGAGUCUUCUUAAUAGAUUAUUUUGAAACGCGAGUGAAGGAGUCUUCUGCUCGCUUUGAGAGAGGGGGAAGGAAAGGUUUGAGAGAGAGAGAGAGGGAAGAGA
rnacentral:lncRNA from 1 species